CCAGCUUACUAAACUACAACUGACGCUGAGGCACGAAAGCGUGGGUAUCAAACAGGAUUAGAUACCUGGUAGUCACGCUGUAAACGAUGAUUACUAGCUGUUGCGUAUUAAGUAAGUGGCUAAGCGAAAGCGAUAAGUAAUCCACCUGGGGAGUACGCCGGCAACGGUGAAACUCAAAGGAAUUGACGGGGGCCCGCACAAGCGGAGGAACAUGUGGUUUAAUUCGAUGAUACGCGAGGAACCUUACCCGGGCUUGAAAUAACAUGACAAUAGAGGAAACUUUAUUUCUAGCAAUAGCAUGUAUGUAGGUGCUGCAUGGUUGUCGUCAGCUCGUGCCGUGAGGUGUCGGCUUAAGUGCCAUAACGAGCGCAACCCACAUUGUUAGUUACUAACAGGUCAAGCUGAGGACUCUGACAAGACUGCCAGCGUAAGCUGGAGGAAGGUGUGGAUGACGUCAAAUCAGCACGGCCCUUACGUCCGGGGCGACACACGUGUUACAAUGGGGGGUACAAAGGGUCGCUACCUGGCAACAGGAUGCUAAUCUCAAAAGCCCCUCCCAGUUCGGAUUGGAGUCUGCAACUCGACUCCAUGAAGCUGGAUUCGCUAGUAAUCGCGCAUCAGCAUGGCGCGGUGAAUACGUUCCCGGGCCUUGUACACACCGCCCGUCAAGCCAUGGAAGCUGGGGGUACCUGAAGUACGUAACCGCAAGGAGCGUCCUAGGGUAAAACUGGUGACUGGGGCUAAGUCGUAACAAGGUAACCAAGGGCGAAUUCUG
rnacentral:rRNA from 1 species